rnacentral:lncRNA from 1 species
CCGGUCUCGCGGGGCUCGGCCUCGCCCUCUCGCCCGGCAGCCCGGCUCGCGCUCGCUCCCGGGUCUGCUGCACGCGUCCGCUGCCGCUGCCGCUGCCGGGCCGACGCCUCCGACCGCUCUCUCGUCCUCCACCCCCGCCCCGCCGCGCUCCGGGCAGCGUCCCGCGCGGAGAAGGGGGCGGGCGGCGGAGAGGUGAGGAGCGAGCCUGCAGCGAGCGAGGCCUUCGAAGUUGAGCAGCGGAGUGCGGGGAGACCCUCCGCUGCCCCCUCUUUAAAGCCGCGCGCGCACACACCGAUCCUCCACACAGAUAUCCUUCCUCCGCGCGCCGAGGAGUCCCGACGCCGCCGCCGGCUUCGCAGGCGCUGAGGGUGAGAGGCACGCUAAACUGCUCGGCUCCGCCACAUAACGAAGCGACAAUAAAGCCGGCGGAGCGUUUCCGUCCGACCAGGCCCUGGCGGAGGUCGAAUGGCAAAUGAACAACGGACCGUGCGCCCACAAUGCACCGGGACUGGACCAGGCGGUGCCUUUCACGCGAAGAGGUUACGACCACGGACACAACCUCCUUUGAUGCAUUGUGCGAGGCAGCACCUCGGGCCCCGGACAGUAGUCAUUUCACAGAAAAUGCACCGCCCCGAGUGUCUUAUUGCUGUGAUGAAAUGGAAAUUUAAAUAAAAGGUCGAACACGUGCGUUCACUGGGAAGUAUUGACAUGGGUGUUACAUCACCAGCAGCCAAUCAGAUAACUCCAGUCGUGUUUAUACUUCUACAACCACCUUGUGAGUAUUACAGUAUGUCAUAACGUUAUAAAUAUUAGGCAGGGUUUUCCCCAGGAGCGGGGAGGAGUCUGCUUCUACGGACGUUGUGAGCGGCUCCGAAGAUUGUGUGUUUAAAGUCAACAAUUCAUUUUUAAGACUUUUUUCGAACUGUUUACAUUACAUGGACUUUAGAUUGAUUCUGACAGAAUGAACUGGAAAUGAAAUCCCACAGUUAUGAUCGUAGUAGAGUUUUUUUUUCCAAUUUAGGGCCCUUAUACUCCUUUUAAAAAUUUUUAAUAUGCUAAAUUUAGCAAAUACUAAAGUGUUAAGACUCAUCUGACAAUGUGAGAAUUUAAGCCUAUUUCAGGUUAAGAAAAAAAAGAUGUUUUCAAGUUAUGGAGGGGCUUUUUACUCUUAAGCGACAUAUGUAUUAGAAGUUGAAUCACGAACUGAUAAAAUGCUCCAGAUAAUUGUUGACUAAAAAAAAUACGGCAGGACAAAUUUUUUACAUUAAUACAUAUGUGCAGAAAAUGAGAAAUAUACAUGAACUCUUUACAGUUAUAGAUUAAUGGGAAGGGUUAUGUUAAAGGCUUGAACCUCCUAAAUAAUGUAUUAAUGUAAAUAAAGUUAUAUAUGUUUUAUGAAGAACAGGUGUUACAAUUUUUAGACCUAGUUUUAUGAUUCUUAUUCUCUUCAAAAGUUCUUUUUCUAUUUCAAAACUAAGAGCAAUAUGUAAAGCUUUGUAUAAUAUGGAAUAUGGUAUGUAUUUCAAGGUUACUUUAAAAAGCAAGCUUUGGCUGGUCCCAAGGUAGUGAAUUGUCUCAAUUGGUUAUUCACAGUUGGUUGCCCGUUGUACCACUCUUUCCCCACUUCCACUUGACUAGUCUUUUAAAAAUAAAUAAAUAUUUAAAUAAACAA